GGGAAGUGCAGGGACCACAAGGUGAACAAAGGGAUCACGCAGGGCGCCGCAGGUUCCCGCAGCCCGAGACAACCCCACUCGGGCUCCCGCGGCUCCGCCCCGCGUGUGAACGGCGGCCCCGCUCACCAUUGCGCGGAUUCCGAGCUCGCCCGCUCUCCUCACAGCUCCCAGCAGCCGUUGAAAGAGCUGCGCGCGGAACCACGAGAGCCUCCCUCAGACUCACAGCCAAACCUGCAGCAUCCUAGGACGGAAGUGUCCGCCUCCGUCCUGACUGGCAGUCCGAGUCCCGGCUCUGAUUGGAUAAUGAAGCCUGGAUGACUGUGACGUAGCACAGUGGUUUCCAACCUUGUUGCCCACUCCAGGCACAGAACUUUCCCAGACCUGUGGAGAUUGGCAUUGCAGCUGAACUUGUGCCUGGACUGCAAAGUCACAGAGAAAGGGGUUCUCUGUGCAUCUCUCGAUACCCUAGAGCUCACUGUGGAGGAAGAAGAGGGCCUGAAACUCACAGAAAUCUACCAGACUAUGCCUCAUAACCUCUGGGAUGAAAAGUGUUCCCCACCCACAACCAGCAUCAAGAAAAUGUUUAAAGGGCGUAUUGGAAGAUUGUCCUGAAGGGAGGCAAACCCUCCCUAACUCGCAGCCAUUAAAACUUUACUGAUAUUCUGUUACUCUCUUGUCCAUUUACAGCUAUCUCAUUCUUCUAUGAUUGUGUUGAAAUGUUUUCUGGGCCCUUGAUCUGGGAAUCUUCUCCUUUGAUUCCUAUUAUUCUCAGGUUUGAUCUUUUCAGAGUGUCCCAAAUUUCCCACGUUUUGUGUCAUAAACUGUUUACAUUUUUCAUUUUGCUUGACUGAUGUAUCAAUUUCUUCUCUCAUCUCUUCUGUCCCUAGGGUUCCGUAUUCAGUCUCUGGUAUUCUUACGUCUGUACUUCCUGUCCUCUUUCCUAGGUUUCCC
rnacentral:lncRNA from 1 species